GGCCAGACUCCUACGGGAGGCAGCAGUGGGGGAUAUUGCACAAUGGGGGAAACCCUGAUGCAGCGACGCCGCGUGUGGGAAGACGGUCCUCUGGAUUGUAAACCACUGUCCCCAGGGACGAAGAUGACGGUACCUGGGGAGGAAGCUCCGGCUAACUACGUGCCAGCAGCCGCGGUAAUACGGGGGGUGCAAGCGUUGUCCGGAAUCAUUGGGCGUAAAGCGUUCGUAGGCGGCAAGGUAAGUCUGAUGUUAAAGCCCGGGGCUCAACUCCGGUUCGGCAUUGGAUACUAUCUAGCUAGAAUGUGGUAGAGGUAAUGGGAAUUCCUGGUGUAGCGGUGAAAUGCGUAGAUAUCAGGAGGAACAUCGGUGGCGAAAGCGCUUUACUGGACCAUUAUUGACGCUGAGGAACGAAAGCCAGGGGAGCAAAUGGGAUUAGAUACCCGUGUAGC
rnacentral:rRNA from 1 species